CGGACUGUUCCAGCAAGUUUCCAGUGAAGGUGGCUGCAGAAACUCUAAACAGUUCUUCGCCGGUGUUGGCCACGAAGUGCGCCGGCGAAGAGGCCGGGCACGGGGGGGGAGAGCGGCAGGAGGGUGGACUGCGGACAGCUCAUACGCGGCGGAGAUCAUGCGCUAUUCCUGCUCCAUCUACACAGCUGGUUCUUGGAGGAGUUGGCCGGAAAGCUUCCAGUUUCCGGCGGCCGGCGGAGCUGACAGAGGUGCUGGAGAAGACAAGGGAGAAGCUCAUCCUUGGGGGCACUUGGGAGAGGGAGCCAAGUUGGAGGGGAUUUCAAAAUUCAAAUUUCAAAUGGCCAAGCUCGAGCGGCAGGAUUCAAAUUCAAAUUCAAGGUGGAUUUCGAAUUCAACGUGGGUGGCAGGUUUCAAAUUCAUGGUGAAGACGUGAAGCUCCAAUCUGACGUGGAAUAAAAGUCAAAGGAGCACCGUGGAUUUCGGAUCCAGCGUGGAUUGCAAUUCAAGUUGGAUUUCAACUUUGGAAACUCCCUCUCUGUUUUGGUCAUUUGGGAGGGAAGCUUUAAUGAUACCGGGUUUGGGUUGUGGAGCUCCACUUAAAUCACAACCCAAAACCCACUAACUAAAGCUUACCUCAAAGCUGGUGGAGACCUUGCUGCACUCCGGCGCCGGCGGCAAAACAGCUUCCGGCAGUGGACUUCAGAGCACGGUGGACCAACAUGAAGGUACUCCUAGCUGGUGGGGAGGAUCUGGAGGCCAUGCAUGGAGCAUAGGGCCACUUUUGAGGGCUGUUUUCUGCCCAGCACAGUGGCAGCAAGGGGCUGGGGUGGCUGGCCAGCAGGGAGCACACCGGCGGAGGAGGAAGCUGCGGACGGAGGGGGCUGCGACUAGGAGCAAAGGAGGAGGCUACAAGGAGCUGUCCAAACCAGAUUUCUUGUUGCAUUCAUAAGGGGCCUUAAUGGACGAUCGCCGGAGAUCGACUUGUGAUCGAAGGAGGAGUUGCAUGAAGGGUUGGGGCGUGGAUGGGCUGCCGGAGUUCCGAAGAAUCAUCGAGUGGCGGGAAGGAUCAGUUUCAAGUGGACAGUGGCUGCCCGGAUUAUGACUGUGACUUGAUUGAGGAGCCUUGGUGUGCACAUGGGUCGCUCACCACAAGUUAGUAUCUGGAGAUCAUUAUCGGAUUUGGCAUAGAUGGUCGGAGACAUGGGAGGAAGCAUGAACAGGAUGGACCGAGGAAGAUGAGAUGCCUUGACUGACAUGAUAGCACGGACAGUGAUAGAGUACGUAGAUGUGUGAGAUCGGUGUGAGAUAUGUACGACUGUGAUUGUUUGUGUGAUAGUGUUGGGAUUGUGAUAGUAUUGACAGUGAUGUAGGUUGGUGUAUUCGCGCGUACACCAACCUUAUACGGUA